GCGCCCGUAGCUCAGCCCGGACAGAGCCGCAGACUUCGGAUCUGAGGGUCGCAGGUUCAAAUCCUGCCGGGCGCGCCA
rnacentral:tRNA from 1 species